rnacentral:rRNA from 1 species
UGGGGAAUAUUGGACAUUGGAGGGAACUCUGAUCCAGCAAUUCUGUGUGUGUGAAGAAGGUUUUAGGACUGUAAAACACUUUUAGUAGGGAAGAAAAAAAUGACGGUACCUACAGAAGAAGCAACGGCUAAAUACGUGCCAGCAGCCGCGGUAAUACGUAUGUUGCGAGCGUUAUCCGGAAUUAUUGGGCUUAAAGGGCAUCUAGGCGGUAAGACAAGUUGAAGGUGAAAACCUGUGGCUCAACCAUAGGCUUGCCUACAAAACUGUUGAACUAGAGUACUGGAAAGGUGGGUGGAACUACACGAGUAGAGGUGAAAUUCGUAGAUAUGUGUAGGAAUGCCGAUGAUGAAGAUAACUCACUGGACAGAAACUGACGCUGAAGUGCGAAAGCUAGGGGAGCAAACAGG